rnacentral:rRNA from 1 species
CAGCAGCCGCGGGAAUACAGAGGAUGCAAGCGUUAUCCGGAAUGAUUGGGCGUAAAGCGUCUGUAGGUGGCUUUUCAAGUCCGCCGUCAAAUCCCAGGGCUCAACCCUGGACAGGCGGUGGAAACUACCAAGCUAGAGUACGGUAGGGGCAGAGGGAAUUUCCGGUGGAGCGGUGAAAUGCGUUGAGAUCGAAAAGAACACCAACGGCGAAAGCACUCUGCUGGGCCGACACUGACACUGAGAGACGAAAGCUAGGGGAGCAAAUGGGAUUAGAUACCCGCGUAGUCCCUGUCUCUUAUAA